ensembl:lncRNA
AUUAAUUUGUUUAUUUAUUUAUUUAUUUUAGAAUUAAUCAUUUGUAAUUACUAAGUGGUCAUUUUCAAUGUACUAAGCAGUAUUAUAAUAAGCUGUCAUGAGAUAAAUUUCUUUCUUUCUUUCUAGAAGAAGAAAUGCACUCUAUUAAUGGUGGAUCAGUCGUCAGAAACCCUCUCGCUCUUACUGGAGACACUGGUUACUGGCUGACAUUAAGCAUACACCCGUCCCACUCCACCCCAAGGCACUGGACUCCACCGCUACCAGUUCCUUGUAUUUGAGCAGCCUGAAGGCCAGAGCUUGUCCCUCAGCCCAAAGGAGAAGAGCUCACUGGGUAACUGGGAUCUGCAGGCAUUUGUUGAAAACGUCUGGUCUGGCUAGACCAGUGGCGUCACACCAGUUCCUCACCCAAAACCACAAGGACUAGAAGACACCUCCAACCUGCAACUCACUUUGACCUCUGGCUUUCACACACUCUAUGGCUUGUUUUUUUCCCAAUAUCCGGAAUGAAUGUAUUGCACCUUAGUAUUUAGAUGAAUGUUAAACUCUUGUCUGAAUUAUAACUUGUAUUAAUGUGUUUGAUGUAAUGUCACAUAUCUCAUAUUAGUGGUUAAACGGAUCGUAGUUGAUCCGUGAUCAAUACGGACCAAGCCCCACGGUUCGGCACGCAUGUGAUCCGUGGAUUAAUUGCAAAAUUUUACCAUAAUAGAGUAUAACUUUAAAAUUUGUUCGUAUUUACACACACAAGCGAAUUUUAAACAAUUCCAGAAGCGAAGCGCGUAACACGAACACCGAACUAAAUCCUCUUCUGAAUCCUCUGAACAAACACAUACACAUAAAAUAAUGACAAAACACCCAUCUCGACAAUCAUUCAGGUAAACGCAGUCAGUUAUGUCUGAAGUGAAUGAAAACAGCUGAGAAAGAAAUCAGAUGUGAUGUGUAUCAUUAUAUCAGAUCUGUGCAUCAGGUCUUAAAGGGACAGCGGCCUAU